AUGGCAUAUCUUGGUUUGGACGACGAGAAAAAAAGUUCCUAGCGCAAGUUGUUUAGACAGAGAGACUUCUUUUAUCAAAAUGACAAUCUUGACAUGCAAUCAUUUGAUCACUGUUGGUUUUAGAAGAUAAGGAUGGAUUCUGGAACGUUCAGGAGCCUCCAUGGAAUCACAACUAUUUCAUAAAAGAAAUUAAUCAGUUUUUUUCUUCACAUUGCCUUGUUUUUCAACUUGGACUGUCAAGUUAUGCAUCAUGCUAUUGUCCUUUGCUUGCAAUAACACGCUUGAUCAUUUAAUGGUCCAGACCGCACAGGCUUUCUGAGUACUCACACUUCCUUUAGUCUGCAAUCUUUGGUCGGUUUUGUGAUAUUUACUUGUCUUUUUCUGUUAGUCUUCAGUUGAACAGGAGUUUGUAAUGAAUUCAGUGAUGAAUCAUUGUGGGGAUUCACCAUUAGUAAUUUUAAAGAGAGAGUGUCAGUGUUUCCUGGCCACCUACUUUCAGUAGUAUUUUUUUUAAAAAAAAUGACAUUUUGAUUGAGUGCCUAAUAUAUUCUCAUUGGAUUCUGCUCAAGCUUGAGACCAGUUCUUAAACUUAUGACUCAUUAGCUUUCAUCUUUUUCACUAAAGCACUUGAUGUAAAGUUAAAUGAGUUUUAUGCAUGACUUGUGUAAGUUCCCUAAUCCCUGCAUCUGGUUGGCUGCAGGGUUGAGUCUUGAAGAGUCAAAGAGUUGCGAUUGCCCUUCGCACCGAUCAUCGAACGUCAUCGGCUGUAUCAACAGAUCAACAAUCAUCCAAUUCUUGGAAAUUCAAGUUUCUUGACAGCAUCUAAGAUUGUCCAUGCAUCAUUAGCUGGAUUUCUUGUUCUUGUCAUCUUUCACUGCCUCCCUGCCCAUUUGUACAGAGCAUCAGGCUUUCCAGCUCCACAAAGAUGCUCCGAUCCACAGGACCCUGGGUAAUUGUGCUACAAAUUCAUGAUCCUUUCUGCUCUUGAGCUGAUCCUUGGGUAAUCGAAGAUCUUCUGAGUAAUCGAUCGAGUUGUCGUUUUUAGUGGAUUCGAUGUUGUUCUUCACCACCUUUGUUCUUAAGGUUACUAACAUUGAUUCAAGUGGACCAAAGCUUGAUGUAUGAUGCCUUGCAAAUUGAAUCAUAG
rnacentral:lncRNA from 1 species